AUUGAACGCUGGCGGCAGGCUUAACACAUGCAAGUCGAGCGGGGGAUGGUAGCUUGCUACCUGACCUAGCGGCGGACGGGUGAGUAAUGCUUAGGAAUCUGCCUAUUAGUGGGGGAAACUCGGGCUAAUACCGCAUACGCUCUACGGAGGAAAGCCGGGGACCGCAAGGCCUGGCACUAAUAGAUGAGCCCAAGUCGGAUUAGCUAGUUGGCGGGGUAACGGCCCACCAAGGCGACGAUCCGUAGCUGGUCUGAGAGGACGAUCAGCCACACUGGGACUGAGACACGGCCCAGACUCCUACGGGAGGCAGCAGUGGGGAAUAUUGGACAAUGGGGGAAACCCUGAUCCAGCGACGCCGCGUGGGUGAAGAAGGCCUGCGGGUUGUAAAGCCCUUUCGGUAGGGACGAAAGCUCUCGACCUAACACGUCGGGAGGUUGACUUAACCUACAAAAGAAGCACCGGCUAACUCUGUGCCAGCCGCCGCCGUAACAC
rnacentral:rRNA from 1 species